rnacentral:rRNA from 1 species
CGUUGUUCGGAAUUACUGGGCGUAAAGGGCGCGCAGCGCGGCUUGGGAAGUCUUGGGUGAAAGCCCCCAGCUCAACUGGGGAAUGGCCUGAGAAACCACUAGGCUGGAGUGCUGGAGAGGGAAGCGGAAUUCCCGGUGGAGCGGUGAAAUGCGUAGAUAUCGGGAGGAACACCAGAGGCGAAGGCGGCUUCCUGGACAGACACUGACGCUGAGGCGCGAAAGCUAGGGGAGCAAACGGGAUUAGAUACCCCGGUAGUCCUAGCUGUAAACGAUGGGUACUAGAUGUGGGGGGUAAUUGAAAGUCCCUCCGUGUCGUCGAUAACUCAAUAAGUACCCCGCCUGGGGAGUACGGCCGCAAGUCUGAAACUCAAAGGAAUUGACGGGGGCCCGCACAACCGGGUGGAGGCAUGUGGUUUAAUUCGACGCAACGCAAAGAAACCUUUACCGGGGUUUGGAACUGGACCUAGACAAUUUGCAAGAGAUGUUAACUUUUCUCUUUUAGAGAACUGGGAACAAGAGGUGGCUGCAUGGCUGGUCGUCACUCUCGUGUCGGGGAGAUGUUGGGUUAAGUCCCCGCAACAGAGCCGCAACCCUUGCCCGGGAGUUGCCAUCAGGUUUAAGCUGGGCACCUCUACGGGGACUUGUCGGGCGAAAAGCCGAGAGGAAGGUGGGGAUGACGUCAAGUCCUCCAUGGCCCUUAUAUGCCCCCGGGUAACCACACGUUGCUACAAAUGGCGCGGGUACAAAAGGGCAGCCCAACUCGCAAGAAGUGAAGCGAAUCCCAAAAAGCCGUUCUCAGUUCGGAAUUGCAGUCUGCAACUCGACUGCAUGAAGUUGGAAUCGCUAGUAAUCGCGGAUCAGCAUGCCGCGGUGAAUACGUUCCCGGGCCCUUGUACCCCACCGCCCGUCACAUCCACGAGGUG